CAGUGCUUACUAUAGCUCUUUUAGAAUGUCUAGCAGGUUUCUCAGUUUUUACUGGAAAAUCUCC
ensembl:snRNA U7 U7 small nuclear RNA